AUUGAACGCUGGCGGCAGGCUUAACACAUGCAAGUCGAGCGGAGAGAGGUAGCUUGCUACUGGUCUUAGCGGCGGACGGGUGAGUAUGCUUAGGAAUCUGCCUAUUAGUGGGGGACAACAUUUCGAAAGGAAUGCUAAUACCGCAUACGUCCUACGGGAGAAAGCAGGGGAUCUUCGGACCUUGCGCUAAUAGAUGAGCCUAAGUCGGAUUAGCUAGUUGGUGGGGUAAAGGCCUACCAAGGCGACGAUCUGUAGCGGGUCUGAGAGGAUGAUCCGCCACACUGGGACUGAGACACGGCCCAGACUCCUACGGGAGGCAGCAGUGGGGAAUAUUGGACAAUGGGCGCAAGCCUGAUCCAGCCAUGCCGCGUGUGUGAAGAAGGCCUUAUGGUUGUAAAGCACUUUAAGCGAGGAGGAGGCUACUUUAGAUAAUACCUAGAGAUAGUGGACGUUACUCGCAGAAUAAGCACCGGCUAACUCUGUGCCAGCAGCCGCGGUAA
rnacentral:rRNA from 1 species